GACGAACGCUGGCGGCGUGCUUAACACAUGCAAGUCGUGCGGAAAGGCCCCUUUGGGGGUGUUCGAGCGGCGAACGGGUGAGUAACACGUGAGUAAUCUGCCCUGCACUUUGGGAUAACUGCCGGAAACGGUGGCUAAUACUGGAUAGGACUGCAUCCUGCAUGGGGUGUGGUGGAAAGCCUUUGGGUGGUGUGGGAUGUGCUCGCGGCCUAUCAGCUUGAUGGUGGGGUAUGGCCUACCAUGGCUUUGACGGGUAGCCGGCCUGAGAGGGUGACCGGUCACACUGGGACUGAGACACGGCCCAGACUCCUGCGGGAGGCAGCAGUGGGGAAUAUUGGACAACGGGCGGAAGCCUGAUCCAGCAACGCCGCGUGAGGGAUGACGGCCU
rnacentral:rRNA from 1 species